rnacentral:tRNA from 1 species
UCCUCCGUAGCUCAGUGGUAGAGUAGAUGGCUGUUAACCAUUUGGUCACUGGUUCGAAUCCAGUCGGGGGAGCCA